rnacentral:lncRNA from 1 species
CUGUCAUGGCAUGCUAGGAAUCUGAGAAAGUGAUGACCCCAGCUCUCCACAUAACUCUGGAACUGAGAGCUAGGAUGUGCCAGUCCCUCUGGUCAACAGGACUGCCUGCCUGCUCAGUUUUACUGUGUGCCUCUGAAACUGGUAGGAAUGUCUAAACCACAAUCCUAGUCUUGUGUGAAUUUACUGAAAAGCAGAACACUGAGGUUUUGGCUCCAUUUCCUGCUGAGAAAAAACUGUUGAAGCAAAGCAUUCUGUCUAGGAAGCAGCUGUUUAUAGCUGUUGUGGACGUGCACCACUCCCAAGUUCUGCAUGACAGAUAGCAUAUGCCCUGAGUUUUCAAAGCUUUCCAAUGUUUUUCUUUGAUUUUGAAUCCAGCAGACUAAAGAAAUCUUGUAUCUUACAGGAAGAAAAUUUGUGGUUAUAGGAACUUGGUGUUAUGGAAAUAGUACCGGGACAGGAGAGUGCCACCAUGCCCUGGGAGGGUCUCUUCAAGCGGGCAUCCAUCCUGCCAGGAGCCAGAUACACCUCUUCAGGAGAAGCGAUCGGGAUGAUGGUGCUUCACACCCCAGAGGGAGUUUCGCUUCACAGAUAAGCGCCCUGAGUCAUGAGCUGAAUACGUGCCAGAAGGUUUCAAUGGCAGAAGUAAAUCCUAUCAAAGUUUGCUGUUGUGGUUGGACUGCUGACUCAAAGCGCUCGCUACGUGAGCUACCAGGGAGAGAUGGGGCUGGCAGUAAGUCACGCAGUGGCUCAUGUGGAAAUUGGGAGGCAGAAAUUGUUCUGCACAUGAACAAGAAACAAUCUGGGUAUGUGAAAAUGUAAGCUGUUUGUUUCAAUCAAGAGGUUGGGUUUGGCUUUACUCCAUGUAGUUAUUUGAAGGCUAUUGAGAAAUGCAAAUCAUGAUUUAUUUUUACUGUGCUAUGUGAUGAGACUCAUACUUCAGAGGCAGAGAGACAAGUUUCUGGAAUCUGUCCAGAAAUUAGCCAAAACGAUAAAAUAAAAAAAUCACACAACUUAUUCA